rnacentral:rRNA from 1 species
CGCAAUGGGCGAAAGCCUGAUGGAGCAACGCCGCGUGCAGGAUGAAGGCCCUUGGGUCGUAAACUGCUUUUAUGUGAGAAGAAUAUGACGGUAACACAUGAAUAAGGGUCGGCUAACUACGUGCCAGCAGCCGCGGUCAUACGUAGGACCCCAGCGUUAUCCGGAAUUAUUGGGCGUAAAGGGUGCGUAGGUGGUUGUGUUAGUCGUUUGUCAAAUCUCUGGGCUUAACCUAGAAACCGCGAACGAAACGGCACAACUUGAGAGUGUGAGGGGUAUAGGGAACUCAUGGUGUAGGGGUGAAAUCCGUUGAUAUCAUGGGGAACACCAAAAGCGAAGGCACUAUACUGGCACACAUCUGACACUCCAGCACGAAAGCGU